rnacentral:rRNA from 1 species
UACUGUGGCCAAACCAAUUUGGCAAUGCCCAAUUUUGUCUGAUCUUGGAAGCUAAGCAGAUUUGUGCCUAUUUAGUACUUGGAUGGAGACCGCUGGGAAUACCAGGUGCCACAAUGG